rnacentral:rRNA from 1 species
UACGGGGGGAGCAAGCGUUGUUCGGAUUUACUGGGCGUAAAGGGCGCGUAGGCGGUCGUGACAAGUCACUUGUGAAAUCUCCGGGCUUAACUCGGAACGGUCAAGUGAUACUGUCGGACUAGAGUACAGAAGGGGCAACUGGAAUUCUCGGUGUAGCGGUGAAAUGCGUAGAUAUCGAGAGGAACACCUGCGGCGAAGGCGGCGACCUGGGCCAAUACUGACGCUGAGGUGCGAAAGCGUGGGGAGCGAACAGG